ACUCAUUCCUUGAAACAUACCUUGUUUUUGCUAUUUUUAGCAAAGUCAUCCUACUCAUUCCUCUUCUCAAGGUGGUUGGCCAUGGGAAUGGAGAUUGGUUGCUAUUUUUAGCAAAUGCAAGCUGCCCCUGUAAAUACCAACCAUUACCCCCUCAUUUCAUCAUCCCUCAUUCAUCCAUCUUUCUCUCUUUUCUCUCUUUGUUUUCCUUUCCCAUUUUUCCACUUUCAAGUGAGUUGUGCAAGGAUUUGAUAGCAGCCCUUUCAGCCAUUUUUGGUUUAAUAACAUGGCAAGGAGUGAAGCACAAAGGAGGAGCAAGGAAGUUAUGCCACGGAGAACCACUUGAAAUGACUUUGCAUUUCUUUCCCUUUACUCUUGUAUUUUCUUAUCGUUCAAUUUAAGAAAAAUGUUUGCAAC
rnacentral:lncRNA from 1 species